rnacentral:ncRNA from 1 species
GGGUUCAGGGAUAGACGUUAUCUUUGGAGGAUUUGGAUGGUCGGGCCGCCAUUCG